GAAAACUGCCCGCUCGUCUCUCUCGUUCGUGUGCAAGAUUCACACGUGAUCUUGAACUAAUAGAGGAUUAGAGGUCUUCUAACUCGAGUUCAGAUCUGCUACCAACCACUCUCCCAACAUCGUUCCAAAUAACUCACUGCAACCGUACAUCGGGAACAUCUCCGGAGAUACUCCCAAUGCACGCUGAGAUGUGGGAGUGGGGCGCCAAUCCGAACUCUUCAAUUUCAUCCUUCCUCCAUCUAGGGUUAGGGGUUUUGAUUUGAUGCUACGUUUAUAGGGAUUUGGGGACGUUGCAUCAUAUUCUCUGAGGAAGCUACAAGGUUCUCUGGUAUCCAAAUGUCUUGUGCUGAAAAUUUUAAGGACACUAUACAACAGGCUGGUCCAGCUAUGAGAUUGGAUUAUUCUCUUUCUGUCUCAUUUUGGUUUGUGUUAGUGAGUUGCUUGUUGAGAUCCGCCUUGAUCAUCCUCAACAAUGAAACAAAGGUAUUUGUCACAGAUUGUUGAUUCAUCUACUAGUUACUCGUAACUGGCUCAACUUAAGGUCAACCACAAGUUAAAGAAAUUCCAUACUCCAGUAUCUUCAUCUCAAUAUGAUCUUUGGGGGGACCAUCACAGCUGGCUGGUUUUCUACAUCAUUAGCACAUAAUGUAGACCCCCCUCCCCCUUGAGAUGUGGUGGAUGUCACUGACAAUAACAACAACGUUACGAGUCUCAGAAUCCUACGGUCCAAGACAUUGGUCAUGGUACCAAUGCUGAAGUUGAGCAGGCCUCUACUACAACAACUCCUCAACAUGAAGCCCAUAGGAAGAGAAAUGUAGACCCCCCUCCCCCUCGAGAUGUUGAGAAUGAAAUUGACAAUAACAAUGUUAUGAGUUUCAGAAUCCUAUGGACCAAGACAUUGGUCAUGCUACCAAGUACCAAUACUGAAGUUGAGCAGGCUCUACUACAACCACUCGACAUGAAGCCUGUAGGAAGAGAAAUUUUUGACUUUAUCAAUUAAUGAACUGAAUUCCUAUGCAAGUAUAAAAAUAGAUAAGCUAGUGGAGUCAAUUAAUGUGCUUAUUGAUAAACCAGAAAAGUACUCCAUUUGGAGGGGCUGACUCAAUGUGACUAUAGCGGACUCUUCAAGUUUCUGUGAGUGUCACUUGUAGGAUAGGGUACACAAUAAGAUGUUUCCACAUGUUAGGAGGAAUUGGAUUGUUGACAUUCUUAACAAGUAGAGUUCGUCUAGGUGACUGAUUAUGUUUGGAAGUGAUUUUUAAUUUGUAACUUAUUUACAAUAUUUAGCACUGUUCUUUGGACCAUAGUAGUUGUAAUUGUGAAAUGUUUUAUUUGAAUUUUAAUGUAUGUGAUAUGACGUGGUUGACUACUAUUUUUUCUAAUGUGUUAUGUGGUCCAAUUCUACUUGCUUGUGUUGUGCUGGUCAUUUAUGAAAUGCACAUU